AGUCAAGUAAUUAAGUGCAUGUGGUGGAUGCCUUGGCAGUCAGAGGCGAAGAAAGACGUGAUAGCCUGCGAAAAGCUCCGGGGAGGCGGCAAAUAUCCUUUGAUCCGGAGAUAUCUGAAUGGGGGAACCCACCUACCUUAAGGUAGGUAUUGCAACAUGAAUACAUAGUGUUGCAAGGCGAACGAGGGGAAGUGAAACAUCUCAGUACCCUUAGGAAAAGAAAUCAAUUGAGAUUCCCUCAGUAGCGGCGAGCGAAAGGGGAAAAGCCCAUUAAGUUAUGUGUGUUUUAGUGGAAUGCUCUGGGAAGUGCAACCAUAGUGGGUGAUAGUCCUGUACACGAAAGGGCACACAUAAUGAUGACGAGUAGGGCGAGGCACGUGAAACCUUGUCUGAAUAUGGGGGGACCAUCCUCCAAGGCUAAAUACUCCUGACUGACCGAUAGUGAACCAGUACCGUGAGGGAAAGGCGAAAAGAACUUGAAGGUUGGGUAACACUAACUGGAGGACCGAACCCACUGUCGUUGAAAAGCCAGGGGAUGACUUGUGGAUAGGGGUGAAAGGCUAAUCAAACUCGGUGAUAGCUGGUUCUCCCCGAAAGCUAUUUAGGUAGCGCCUCGGACGAAUACCAUUGGGGGUAGAGCACUGUUUCGGCUAGGGGGUCAUCCCGACUUACCAAACCGAUGCAAACUCCGAAUACCAAUGAGUACUAUCCGGGAGACAGACUGCGGGUGCUAACGUCCGUAGUCAAGAGGAAAACAAUCCAGACCGCCAGCUAAGGCCCCAAAAUCAUAGUUAAGUGGGAAACGAUGUGGGAAGGCAUAGACAGCUAGGAGGUUGGCUUAGAAGCAGCCACCCUUUAAAGAAAGCGUAAUAGCUCACUAGUCGAGUCGGCCUGCGCGGAAGAUGUAACGGGGCUAAAACUAUGUGCCGAAGCUGCGGAUGCAUAAUUUAUUAUGCGUGGUAGGGGAGCGUUCUGUAAGCCGAAGAAGGUGUAUUGAGAAGUAUGCUGGAGGUAUCAGAAGUGCGAAUGCUGACGUGAGUAACGACAAAACGGGUGAAAAACCCGUUCGCUGAAAGACCAAGGGUUCCAGUCCAACGUUAAUCGGGGCUGGGUGAGUCGACCCCUAAGGCGAGGCCGAGAGGCGUAGUCGAUGGGAAAUUGGUUAAUAUUCCAAUACUUCAGUGUAAUGCGAUGAGAGGACGGAGAAGGUUAAGUCAGCCUGGCGUUGGUAGUCCAGGUGAAAGGAAGUAGGCAUGCAUCUUAGGCAAAUCCGGGGUGCUCUAUGCUGAGAUCUGAUAGCAAGCUGUACUUGUACAGUGAAGUGGCUGAUACCCUGCUUCCAGGAAAAGUCUCUAAGCUUCAGUUACACUGGAAUCGUACCCGAAACCGACACAGGUGGUCAGGUCGAGUAGACCAAAGCGCUUGAGAGAACUCUGCUGAAGGAACUAGGCAAAAUGGUACCGUAACUUCGGGAGAAGGUACGCUGUUGACGGUGAUGGGACUUGCUCCCUGAGCGGUUGACAGCCUCAGAAACCAGGCCGCUGCAACUGUUUAUUAAAAACAUAGCACUCUGCAAACACGAAAGUGGACGUAUAGGGUGUGAUGCCUGCCCGGUGCUGGAAGGUUAAUUGAUGGGGUUAGCGUAAGCGAAGCUCUUGAUCGAAGCCCCAGUAAACGGCGGCCGUAACUAUAACGGUCCUAAGGUAGCGAAAUUCCUUGUCGGGUAAGUUCCGACCUGCACGAAUGGCAUAAUGAUGGCGGCGCUGUCUCCAGCAGAGGCUCAGUGAAAUCGAAUUCGCCGUGAAGAUGCGGUGUACCCGCGGCUAGACGGAAAGACCCCGUGAACCUUUACUGCAGCUUGACAUUGAACUUUGACCUUACUUGUGUAGGAUAGGUGGGAGGCUUUGAAACUUGGACGCUAGUCCGAGUGGAGCCGUCCUUGAAAUACCACCCUGGUAAUGUUGAGGUUCUAACUCUGUCCCGUUAUCCGGGACGAGGACCAUGUCUGGUGGGUAGUUUGACUGGGGCGGUCUCCUCCUAAAGAGUAACGGAGGAGUACGAAGGUGCGCUCAGCGUGGUCGGAAAUCACGCGUAGAGUAUAAAGGCAAAAGCGCGCUUAACUGCGAGACCCACAAGUCGAGCAGGUACGAAAGUAGGUCUUAGUGAUCCGGUGGUUCUGUAUGGAAGGGCCAUCGCUCAACGGAUAAAAGGUACUCUGGGGAUAACAGGCUGAUACCGCCCAAGAGUUCAUAUCGACGGCGGUGUUUGGCACCUCGAUGUCGGCUCAUCUCAUCCUGGGGCUGAAGCAGGUCCCAAGGGUAUGGCUGUUCGCCAUUUAAAGAGGUACGCGAGCUGGGUUUAGAACGUCGUGAGACAGUUCGGUCCCUAUCUACCGUGGGCGCUGGAAAUUUGAGAGGAUCUGCUCCUAGUACGAGAGGACCAGAGUGGACGAACCUCUGGUGUACCGGUUGUGACGCCAGUCGCAUCGCCGGGUAGCUAUGUUCGGAAGGGAUAACCGCUGAAAGCAUCUAAGCGGGAAGCCUACCUCAAGAUAAGAUUUCCCCGAGGCUUUAUGCCUCCUAAAGAGCCGUUGAAGACUACGACGUUGAUAGGUUGGAUGUGGAAGCAUAGCGAUAUGUGAAGCUGACCAAUACUAAUUGCUCGUGAGGCUUGACUAU
rfam:Acinetobacter towneri strain 5-2Ac02 Scaffold5.1_new, whole genome shotgun sequence.